AACGCUUCUGUAAAGACGGAAAGAAAAAAGAAGGAAAAAAAAAAAAAAGGCAGGGCACGCUCCAACUGCAGGGUCACCGGGCCGCUCGGGGUCAAGGCCCUCGGGCUCCAUCCACCUGGACUCGGACGUGGUCAGCACGAGGGCCCAGGUGGCAGCUGAGAGCGCGCGCAGGGGGGACAACGGGGCCGCGGCCAUGUCCGGUGCUGGCAACUCUAAGGGGGCUUGCCUCCCUUCUCAGACAACCGAGGCGCCGCUAGCAGGCCAAAGUGCUGGACGCCGAUUGGUGAAAACCCGAGACGGGCGGAGAGUCCUGGUUUCUUAUUGGCUGCGGAGCGCGCUAGACUGUAGCUGAAACAGUCCCUCUGGGAGCCUGGCGGAAUUAAAGGCCGAGUGAUGCCGGCGGGAGAGUAGGGACCCGCUGUCCACUUGUGGGUGUGUGGCUCUGGCGCUUUCAGGUCCAGAGGUCCUGACCAGAGGCGAGGGCACGGCUUCCACCUCAAUUACUUUUCCUAUGUAUAUCCUAAAAAGAUAGAGCCACACCCAAGCCGCCUUUUUUUCUUUUUUAAAAUCAGCCCUUUCGUAGAACGCCAGGAUCUGCUAUUUCUUCUAAGCUCCCCUCUUGUUGCUGUGAGCAAAUGCCUAGAGACACCUGGCUUAGAGACCUCGGAGACAGUCCCUCGGAGACUAAUACUGCAACCGAACCAAAACUGGAGAACCUAAGGCAAGACUUCAGUUUUCCCUUCAGCUCAGCUGUACCCUAAAGGGAAAAAACAAGCUUAAAAAAAAUUUUUUUUUCUUAGAUAAUUAGAGAAAUCGCCUGGGAGAGCUCUCUUGGGAAAACAAAGCAAGCCUGUGUCAGUAUUUACUUCAGUUUUCCCAGAGAUGGAAGUCUGGAGACUUGUUUUUUUGUGUUUUGCUUCUCUGUUUAUAAAAUUAAAAGAGGGUCAUGGCUGGCCUUGGGAAGUAAGAGCCCCCUUCCCCCAUUAAUAAAUUUAAUUAUAUAAUUAAAAUCUCUCUUCUCAGCUGAACAAGAA